GAUCAUGGCUCAGGAUGAACGCUGGCGGCGUGCCUAAUACAUGCAAGUCGAGCGAGGUAGCUUGCUACCUAGCGGCGAACGGGUGAGUAACACGUAGGUAACCUGCCUUGAGACUGGGAUACCCGAGCGAAAGUUCGGCUAAUACCGGAUAACAACGGGGACGGCAUCGUCUCCGCUUGAAAGGUGCGUUUGCACCACUCUUAGAUGGACCUGCGGCACAUUAGCUAGUUGGUGAGAUAACAGCCCACCAAGGCAAGGAUGUGUAGCCGACCUGAGAGGGUGACCGGCCACAAUGGGACUGAGACACGGCCCAUACUCCUACGGGAGGCAGCAGUAGGGAGUUUUCGGCAAUGGGCGAAAGCCUGACCGAGCAACGCCGCGUGAGCGAUGAAAAGGUCUUCGGAUUGUAAAGCUCUGUCAGGAGGGACGAAUGCUGUGAUCAGGAAAUGGGUUGCAGUUGACGGUACCUCGUAAGGAAGUGACGGCUAACUACGUGCCAGCCGCCGC
rnacentral:rRNA from 1 species